CUGAGUUCAGGGUGUAGCACAAGAACUCAGCAAGCAAGGAACUUGUGCAUUGUUAAACACAAAUGUAAGAGUGAGGAAGCCACCUCAGGAUUUAAAGUGCAUAGGUUCACUACUCUAAUGGUGAAUCAGGUCUGAUGUAGACCCUGGUGCACUGCAACUCCCGAUAUGACUUGGCAAAGUAAUACAGAAGAACCCAUGCCUCCCAUUGAUUGAAUUUCAGUCUGACCUCUCCUGCCUCUUCUCUGUUCUGCUGUUGACUUUCUCUCUGACCUUGGGCACAUCAAUUCUUCCACUGAAAGAACUCUGACAUAGCCUGGAUUUGUUCUGACUGAGCAUCUGGCCCAGUUUCAAAAUCCACCAGGAAAUGGGACUUUUAUGCUCCUUAGAACCUGUGAGGGCAUGAAGACUCUGUGAGACUUCUCUGAAUGUCACACGGGGCUGCUAUCCUGAGAAACUAUUGUGCUAAAGUGAAAAUAUCAUAUCACAAAGACACAAGGCCAUGGGAAGAAGUGAAAGGCAUGAUCUGAAGAUGUCCAGUUAUAUGUAGUUGUGCCCACUGGACACCGAUUUACAUAAAACUGCAAGUAUUUAAACAUUAGAGCAGUCUACCUUCAACGGUUGCAGAGUCUCUGUCAUGGGAAUAUUUAAAAUUACAUAAGACUUUUGUAGGAAAGGCAUAAGUAAAGCUGACCCUGCAUUGAGCAGGCUGAGGGAUAGAUGAACACCUGAGGUCUCCUUCAGCCCUGCAUGUUGAUGCCGUCAUUUGCUAGGGCAAUAUGAUGCUGAGUCCAGGAGUUCCCCUGGGAGAAGAGGGACUACAGCAAGGAGGAAGUCAGGAAAACAGAGGAAAAACUGAGUUUUAAAAGGGCAUAUAUGAGCAAGAGAGAAUGAAAGAGAAGCAGAAGGGGAGCUGGAUGGAAUUACAAGGCACAUCAGCCAAGGGAGAAAGCCGGAGAUAACUCAGAGGAGCACAAACACAACAAAUCCUCAAAGCAAAACUAAACUUGGCUGAAACUUUUACCCAUAAUGACCCUUGUGCAUUGGAUGUAUAAUAAUUUUUAAAAGAAAUCAACUACUAAGAGUUAUCCUUCUCAUUAUGAAAGUUUCUUCUCAUGUCCUUUGCUUUCCACUCAAGCUGCAACAUCCCAGUUCUCACUCACAUCCCAAAUGUAGUUUUAAUUUGGGCCCCCUUCGGUGUUCAUUUGUUGUUUUCUCCUAUGCCAGCAGCACAACUGCCCCAGCCAUUCACAAAGCAUGAUCAAACCAGGGCUGUGACUGUGUCCCUUAGAUGAGAGAUCUCCCAGGCAGAACACAGGGACGUUUAUCACAGCGAGUGGCUGAUCCAGCAGAGUUCAGUGGAGUUGGACAAGGACCAAGCUGUGAAUUAUGCCUUAUCUUUUGUGAUGCCAGCUGCCAAACAUCUUAAUAGCAGGCAGCCCAAUUUAAUCUUCUAUUGUAGGUGAUGCAAAACGUUGCCUGAGAGAUGUGGCAUGAGUUUGAAUAGGUGCAGCUCCAGUGCUGCUGUCCCAGUCUCUCUCCAUUAGUUCAUACACCUUAGUAAUAUCGUAUCAAACGCUGCACACAAGCAUCGUGGCCAGAGAUGCAUGACAAGGGUCUCCCUGCAGUGUAAAGGCCACUGGGCACUUGCAAACUGAUUUUAGCUAGAAGAAAUGUAUCCUGUGGUUGCACGGUGGAGUUUUCUGAUGCCUACAUAGAGUCAGCACACCUGCAUGCCUGUGUUACCACUGCCCUCUCAUCUCAAAGACGGGACAUCUCAGUGGCCCGUGAGCUCUGUGACCUACUUACUAGGUACUUACUAGGAUUCUCCUGGAAAUCAGAUUAAAGGGGGCAGGGUGAUCUGAGCUCUAUCUCUGCUGACACCCUGAAUUCCCACUAUUUAUCAGCUUCUCUUUAAAAGGAUUUCAGAUUGCAUUUCCGUAUCUAGCAUAUGGAGACUUUCAUUUAUUUGACAGGUUGAUUCUUUUAUCAGACAUUUAUAAGGAUUUACAAUACUAAUGCACUUCGCAUGCAGUAUUGGAUUUCACACAGAAAAAGUGCCAGUAAAGGGACAAGUCGUCCUCAGAGCAGUUUUCCGUUCUCUUUCUCAUUCCACCUUCCCUAUGCUUUACAGAGGCAGGUCAGUACAACAAAGGCUGUGAAAAAACUAAUGCCCUUUCCAAGAAUUUUCUGCUGGGACGAGUGAUGAUGGAUGCAGGCUCCUUAUUAGGGCUGAGUACAUGAGGCUCUUCUCUCCUUGUGGUUGCGCUCAGAGGGAUGGGGUUGCAGACGGCGAGGAAGCCCCUGCCGGUAGGGUGAACAGCGCUAGGCAAAAGAAGAGGAAGAUGCAGGAGAUCUGCAGAGAGAAGACAGAUACUGGCUUUGCUUAAAACUGAGAGUUGUAAAAUAAAAUCCUCCAGGACAGAGCCUGCAGGGCAGGGAUUUCUCCUUUUUGACAGCCUACAGUGAAUGAAGCACAAAACAGCCUGCUGUCUCUGCAGACGGCAAGGAUGUUUGGAGACGUCAAACUGUAGUACAGAAGAUGCACAAGAGGAAUGGAGACACAGCUAACUACCUCCCAGACUUUUGAUUUCUUGUUCCAAGCGGGAGAUCCUGAAAUCAUGCAAGUUUUUCUUGUGUCCCUGUUAGAAUCAAAAAUCUAGUUUCUUUCUGCUUUGGGGUAGCAGAUGGAAAUAAAGCUUAUUUGUUCUUAAUUAUCUGCCCUUGUUUCAGAUUCAAAGGUGCUUGGAUUCAAAGUCUGCAUAUUUUCAGUCCUAGCAAAGGGCAGGGGAAUAGCAGUGGGCACAGCCAGGCAUAAAGUCAAGCUUCCC